GGAUCUGUGGCGCAACUGGCUAGCGCACCUGACUCUUAAUCAGGGGGUUGUGGGUUCGAUCCCCACCAGGUCCA
rnacentral:tRNA from 2 species